rnacentral:rRNA from 1 species
UACCCGCAGCACAAGUGGUGGUCAUUAUUAUUGGGCCUAAAGCGUCCGUAGCUGGCCUGUUAGAUGCCUGGGUAAAUCGAUGCGCUCAACGCAUCGAACUCCGGGUAGACCGGCAGGCUUGGGACCGGGAGAGAUGUGAGCUACUCGAGGGGUAGGGGUAAAAUCCUGUAAUCCUUCGGGGAGGACCAGUGGCGAAGGCGCACAUUAGAACGGCUCCGACAGUGAGGGACGAAGCCCUGGGGCGCAAACCGG